CAGUGCAAAGAAAAUAUGUUCAGUGUAGGUUUUUAUAGUUAAUUCUCCUUGAUUAGUCUCAUAGUCUGCCAUAAAUCAAAGAGCAAGGAGCAUAAUAUUUUGACAGCAUGACGAUAUACAUGAUUUUAAUAAAUUAAACAUUUUAUUGAUAGUUCAAUUCAAAGAGUUCAGCGCAGUUUUUGAUUUUAUAUUUACAUAAAAACAUUAAUUGACUACAGGCACAGAAAGAUUUGAUUGAGGAUGUGUACUGGAACAAAAUGUUGUUAUCUGGAAUUGCCAAUUGCGGGCUAUGUCUUAGGAGUAGUACAUAUAAUAUGGUCCCUUUACGACAUAAUUGCUAAUUUCAUAUUAAUGUCUGGAUCGGGUGGUGGUGGAGAACAUGGUAGGAAGAAAUAUCGAAUGAUGGUUAUCGGCCCGAUCAAUAAAGACGCGGGAGAUGGUUCAAGCGGGGCAUCCAAACCACAAAUCAUAGGGGAAAUAGUAGUAUCUGUAAUAGCCAUUAUAUUCUCUAUUCUACUUAUCAUUGGAAUUAAAAAGGGAAAGAAAAUAUUUGUCACGUGUUACUAUAUAUUUGGCAUAGUGUUGACGAUUUUUUUGUGUCUUGGUGCAAUUUUGAUGUUCGUUCAAGGCCAAAUAAUUAUGGCAAUAUCGGCUUUGAUAAUAACCGUUCUCUAUGUUCUCAUACUUGUCUUCUUGGUUAGGAGGCUGAGGAAUUCGAUGUCGAAUCCCACCUCACCUCAGUGACGACUAAGUUUUUACAAUUUAACGUGCGAUAGGAGGGAAAAUUCUGCGCGGUGCUACGCGAAAUUCUGGCCUAUAAUAUAGUUAUUAUAGUUUCUUGUAUUAUUAGUACUACUUUGUAAUAUUCCUUGGU